rnacentral:rRNA from 1 species
AUUGAACGCUGGCGGCAUGCUUUACACAUGCAAGUCGAACGGUAACAGGCCGAAAGGUGCUGACGAGUGGCGAACGGGUGAGUAAUGCAUCGGAACGUGCCCAGUCGUGGGGGAUAACGCAGCGAAAGCUGCGCUAAUACCGCAUACGAUCUAUGGAUGAAAGCGGGGGACCGUAAGGCCUCGCGCGAUUGGAGCGGCCGAUGUCAGAGUAGGUAGUUGGUGGGGUACAGGCUCACCAAGCCAACGAUCUGUAGCUGGUGUGAGAGGACGACCGGCCAGACUGGGACUGAGACACGGCCAAGACCCCGACGGGAGGAAGCAGUGGGGAAGUGUGGACCAUGGGCGCAAGCCUGAUCCAGCAAUGCCGCGUGCAGGAAGAAGGCCUUCGGGUUGUAAACUGCUUUUGUACGGAACGAAACGGUCCUGGUUAAUACCCGGGGCUAAUGACGGUACCGUAAGAAUAAGCACCGGCUAACUACGUGCCAGCAGCCGCGGUAACAC